rnacentral:lncRNA from 1 species
AGGUACUUCCUUAGCUGGAGCUGGUGCUGGUGGUGGUGUUGCUGGAGCUGGUGCUGGAGACACUUGUGGUGGCGGUGUAGCUGGUGGUGGUAUUGGAGUGGCAGCUGGAGAACUUUGUGGUGGUUGUGGUGGUGGAACUACUGGGGUGGUAGCUGGUGCGACUUUAGGAGAUGGUGAUGAUAUAGGAGUGGUUGCAGUUGGGGGUGUCACUGCACUUGCUGGUGAUUGUGUUGGAGUGGUUGGUGUGGUUGUGGGUGGAGGUGUGGUGGUUGUAGGUGUUGAUGGCGAAACAGCUGGUGUUUGGGCAUCAGUAAUAGCUAGUGGGAAACUCAGACAUGCCAAGAUGAGAGCCCAAAGCACCGAAGCCAUUUAGUUGUGAUGAGAAUCAACAGGAAGACGUAACAUUGUUAUAUAGAGUUAUGGAAAGGCUUUUAAAUUUAGUAAAUGUUUGGUGGAAUGUUAAGAGGGAGAGAUGUUGUCUUCAUUUGAAUGCGACAUCCCUUCUAAUGAUCUGGAGUGAUGUCGUAUUCGGACAGCUCUGCAAUUGGCUGGUCCUAUCAACCAAGAUUUGGGGCCUAAAAUUGAGAAAUCUUGCUGAAGAAAAAAGAUGUACUGCUUUAAGUUUUAGCUAUAUGGAUGCAGUUAUUUGUGUUGAUAGGAUUGUCAAUGGUUGUGCUGUGUUUGAUUUUUUGCUGUGCAUUUUCAACUCAUUUAGAACCGAGCACGAAGAGUGAAGGCUCUGGAGUUUCUUUUUCUUCAAGGUGGAAUGUCGUAAUUAGGCAAUAUGUGUUUGCUUUUUACUAGAAUCUUGAAACUAACAAAAACUUGAAUCACGAGUUUAUAUUUUAUGAUCAUAAUUUCCGCAAUCAUCGAUAUGUUGUGGUAAAUAUGGCAAAAUGGCUGGACAAGUGAUGGAGUGAAAUGAGAGGGAGGCAAUGCAGCCGGCAAUCCGGGCUAACCUUUCACCUACUCAGCAGAGACCACGAUGUCGAUCCUAACACAACCUAAACAUUGGUAAGCAGUCCCUGUCCGAUUUAAGGAAAGAAAGGUCAGGUUCCCUUUUCUUCCUUUCUUUUUUUGUUGGUGUUUAAUAUUAUAGUGCAUGGUAUUUUAAAAAAAAUAUUUUUAACUUGAAAAUAUACUAAAAUUAUUUUUUUCCAGAUUUUUAUUUUUAAUAUCAUCAAAACCAUUGGAAAAUACAAAAAAUAUCAAUUUAAUAUUUUUUAAAAUUAAGUACAUCCAAAUACAAUUUCAAAUACGGAAACAAAUUGUGCCUACUCAGUUAAGGACUUUUGUUAGUUCACGGAGCACUCUCCGAUCGAGUUUGGAAAGUCGUAAUCAAAUGCAUAAUGCCCAACGCAGGAGCUGAUAAUUGUCAUACCCACAAGUUCAGGCUUGAGACCAUCUGUUGCCAGAUUCUAACCACCCACAAUUGGGAAAGCAAAUUGUAUCAAAUUAUCAACUUUCAUAACUUGGGGCUGUUCUGCCAACCUGACGAUAUCCACCAGUCUCUGCCAACGAAACCCCCCCCCCCCUUUUUUUUUUUUUUUCCACAACGGACAUACAAAAUUUCUGCAGUUACAAUUACAGAUUAUAACUCAAAAGGGUUUACACUUUACAGUGGUUUGCCACAGCUGAUCUAUGACAAUUGCUACCGCAGGCCCACAUGGAAUCAAGAUAUCUGGGCCCUGAGGACUGAUAUCUGUGACUAUUUUCAAUGAUAUGAUUAUCUCUCAAUGUUAAUAAAAGGUUUUAUUCCCAAGUCAUUUUUCACCUUUAGACGUGGCGAUUUGAAGUUUGUUGGAUUUCAUAUUCUCAUAAAGACACCGAAUAUAUAUUCAAUUGGAUUGAAAGAUAAUACAGUUUCCAGAACGUUUUUUAUUAACUUACUUGAUGGUGUUCUACCAUCUCUUACAAACAGAACAUGGCAUGGAAGAUAUCUUGCAUCUUACCGAGGAUUUUAGAUUGUGGGUUUGUUAUGGGAAGACAUGAAGGUUGAGGAGGGGAAUCUUCUUUCUUCUCCUUUUUCCUUCUCCUAAGCUGGAAAAAUUGCUGCAUUACAUCUGCACACUCCAAUUCCAAUAUUCCUCGCCGGAUUGCCAUCUUUGGAUGGAAAGGAUGGACUGGAGCGGCUGGCUUAUCUGCCAGUUCUGAGCCAUUUCCAUCUCGUCCAUCAGGAAAAAGCCUGCAAGGAUUGUCACACAGGAAACUUUUGGGAAUCAUAAGCCUCGGAAAUUUCUGUUAUGAGUCGGCUGAAUGCCUGAUCAACUUGAAUCUAACUAGCGUGUGAAUGGUGGUUUGUUCUAUCCUCUAUACCACCAACCACCCCCCCCCCCCCAAUUCUAGCAGGGAUUUACUUUGUGGUGACUGGAACAAGCAGAGAUUCAUGUAAUACCAGCAGCCAUUUCAGAUAAUGGCUAUGGAAACCAAUUUAUCAUUUUCUUCCCAAUAAAAAAAAUAUAAUAAGAAAUAAAUGACUGAUUUAAUAAAUGUGCUCUAUUAAUUAUGUUUUGAUCCACGGAUGCAUUGGGAGCACUAUGAACAUUGAUGACAGAAACAGGAUAGGGGAACAAUUCAAAAGGAAGAAAAUGUGCCAAGUGUAUCUAAGUCUAAUUAUAUUGUAAUGGCAAGGCAAUGUUAACCCUUUCCCAUUGGGACAUAAUGUAUGGUCAGAUCACUUUAAUAACCAUUAACCAGUCUCAGCAUGGACGGACCAAAUAAGGCAUUUCUGUUUUGAAACGAAUUUGGCACUCAUAAUUUUUAUCAAGUAAAACACUUUAAGAACAAGGCUUUGAUUCUUCAUAAAUAAUAGUCAGAUGUACAAAAGACCAGUCUCCCAUUUCAAUGAGAUUUCAAGGAAGAUGAGCUUACCUAAUCCAGCUUCCAUCAGCUCCAAGAAGCUUAUUGGGAGCUCCCCAUACAAGAGUAUUUAUUCUUGCUUGAAGUAUUGCUCCAGCACACAUAGGACAUGGUUCAAGUGUUACAUAAAGAGUAGUCUCCUGCAAAUCAAAUCAUUAAGCCCUCGCUGUGAAUAUCAGCAGAGUUAGAACAGUUCCUUGAAAAGUGAUUUCCACUUUGAAAGUCAGCUUUCAUUUGAUAAGAUAUAAUUUUCUUAGUAUCUUUUCCUUUCGUAUGUAAAACUUAGUCAUUGAAGAGGUUAAAACAGUUUGAUAAUGACUAAACUAGUUAAGAGUGAAUGCAUUAAUUAAUAAUUAUAGUUUCUUUAUGACAUUGAUUAUUUCAAAAGAAUCGAGGGAGUAAAUAAAAGCUUUCAAAACAAAGAGAAAGUACCGAAAGCCUCCAUGACCGGAGUUGAUUUGAUGCCUCCCUAAUGCAAAUCAUUUCUGCAUGGGCGGUGGAGUCUCGUAACUCCUCCACUCUGAAAUAUAAAUCUCCACAUAAAACCCCAAAAUAAAGAAGCACAAUAUAAGGUUUUAAUCACAAGUGCAUACAACUUACAGGUUGUAGCCACGAGCAAUAAUCUUCCCAUGAUGCACCAUCACGGCCCCAACAGGCACCUCCCAAGAAUCGGCAGCCUUCUUGGCGUCUAGCAGGGCUUCCCUCAUAAACAUUUCAUCAAUUUUCCGCUGCUCACUUUCACAUAAAUAAGCCUCUUCCCAUUCAUUGAAUCUGUCUCUCCCAACUUGCUCAUUUCGUUGAAGCUUCCUUUGUUUCAACUCCACACCCUUCCCCUCAGAGCCUGCUACUUCAAUUAACUUUUCACUAUCAGGUCGCUCCAUAAGCUCCAUUGAGCCACUAACAGAAAUAUUAUUUUUAGCAGCACCAAAACUUUCUUCCACAAUGGGACCACUUGUGCUAGAAGGCGGCGAUAAAACUAGUGAUGAUUCCCCUACUUCCAUGCUAGAUGUAGCAACUUGAGAAUUGUUCCUAUCUUGACUACAACCAAGGUUUUCCUCUUCAGAAGGUGAGGAAAUACCUUUUGACGUGAACCCAAUUUUUAAUGUAAUUGAAGGAGAUGAAGUGUCUCCUUCAAGCGGUCUUAUUACGUUCUUUGAUCCAAAUGUGUCAGAUGCUUUUACCUCAUCUGGACUAGAAGUCUGUGUUAGUUGCAGCUGGUGAGAAGAGGCAGCUUCCUUAGGCAUACUUUUUCUUUCCCUUUUCAGAUUCUUAUCACUGAUUUCAUCAGGUUCAUGGCCAGAAAACCAUGCUUCACUAGUAACAGAAUCAUUUGACAAACUCUUUCCACCUGAUCUUCGAGUUGAUUUAGGGGUUUCAGCAUGUGAACCCCAGCGCAGUCGUACUAUAUUUGAGAUGAUAUUCCACAUGGACCUUCCAGUUCUCCUAACAACAAUACUCUUGAUUGCUGUGCUACCUGCUGGUGCUUCUGUCUCUGGAGGUUCCUGAACAGACGGGUUUGUUACAUUCCACAUUUCAUCUGAAGGACCCUUCUCUCCAGAGUCCCCAGAUGAUUGCAUUGAGUCCUGCCUCUUCAACUGUAAGUCUUUAGUAUCAUAUUGACUUGAACUCUUUCGCCUCUGCUUCUCAACUUCAUAUGCCAACUUUGUAUCAGAAACUGUCUUCUCCUUUUGGAUUUCAGAAGUUGACACUUCAUGCCUAGCUUUCUCAACAAACUCUCCAACAAACUGCAUUGAUGACGCCUCUAAACGAUGAGCUGAACCAAGAGCAUCUUCAGUCAAGGUAAGAUUUGAAGCCUCCCCAUAUAUCUCAUCUUUCUUAUUUCCACCAUAUUUUUCCUGCUGGAAAACUGCAGUUCUCCUUCCAGAAUUUCUAUACAGAGUACUAGAGCCACAUUCCAAAGAUUCUCUGGAAUCCUCUUGAUUUGCGAUCCCACCAGAUGAAUUAAUAUGAAAUGAACCUCGAUCUAACAAUUGAGGUGAGGGAAGCAUCGUUAUUGUCUGUGAUGUUCUUUCAUUCCCCUCCCCCACAUCAACCUGUUGAAUUCCAACUUUGGAAACCAUAUUUGCAGAUGCUUGAGAAUCAAAGGCCUCCUGUGAAGUUGUUUCAUGAAGCCUUAAUUUGUUAGUAGCCCUACAAACCUCACUUGAAGAUUUGGACUGAGUGAGAUUUUGCUCAAUUUUAUCGUCUCUCUCCCUUGUCUCGCAAAUGGCUUUCACAGCUGAUGUCAAUUCAUUUUCUUGAUCAAAAACUCUCUUUCCAGAAGUUCUGCCAAAAUUGGUGACCAUUGUCAUAUCGCUUGCAUGGACCAGUGACACAUUGGUGAAAUCCAGAGAUAUAUUGGUGGCAUCUCCAGAUACCUUGCUGGAUUCAGUUCCCUGAAGAGCUUUUUGAUCUGUGUGCGACUGGUGCUCUUUUGCUUCGGUACCUGAUCUAGAAACAACACUUUUACUUACCUCCUGCUGCUUCAUUCUAGUUUCUGAUAGUAGAAUCGAAGUCUUUUUGUUACUACUGUCAUGAACUUCUGAUAUUUUAGAUAACUGUUGUGAACUUCUUCUUGACUGAACCUGUCCACUUGUCUGCCCACCCAUUUGGAAUUUUUGCUCAUUUGUCUCAUAAAAUGAUCCUAGAGCUCUAUCUUCUACCAGAAUCUUCAUUCUAGACUCAGAUUGCCUCUGCAAAUUUGAAACUCUUUCAGUACUGGCAUUCUCAGUUGUUGAUGUGUCAAUGAGUUGGUGAGUGGCUCUUCUUAUAUUGUUUUUUGCAGCAGUUUCACCAACUCUUUUAUAACGUUCAUCCCUUCCUUCCCAAACCAAAUUUGCAUCCACUAGAUUUUCUUCUCUACCACUGAACCGCUUCUGGGAUUGGGAAGCUUUUUCAACAUUUAUUCCACUCCUCUCCUGUUUAUUGGUAAUUUCCUGGUAACUUCUUCUGAAUUCAGAUUGCUCUUUGACUUGAUCCCCCAUCUGACAAUAUCGCUUUCUUGUUUCUUUCUCCAAAUUAACCGCCAAACUUUUCUCAUCCUCAUUGCCAAUCUGGUUAUGAGAACUUGAUACCUUCCUGUAAUCACUUUCAUGGUUUCUCGCCAUUCUUGAUUGCAUUUGUGAGGAUUCUCUUUCUGAUUGUGUUUCUUCAAUCUCAGUAAGUUUCUUCUCAGAUUUCUUCCUCGGAUCCCACUCAACACCAGUCCUUCUUGCACUAGUUCUCGCUUCCAGAACCUCCCCCUUCCACUCUGUGCCAUCUCUAUGCCUCCUAAACUCUUCCACAACUUGCCCCUCUGAUCUACCCUCUCCACUUCUUAAUUCCUUCCUGUAUCCACUUGAUGAUUCUUUGGGACAAUCAACAUAUUCAUCCAGAGAUUCCGUGUCACUCUCAAUAUCUCCUGCAGAAGAAAGUGAAUAAAAUGACGAAAAACUAGAGCUCACUCUCCUUCCCCUGUGAUUCUCCCCUUUUGAAACCGCUUUCUUUUCUUCCUUUUCUUUCUGGUCUUCCAUCUCUUCCUUCCUCAACUCAACUUUAGCUGACUCAAAUUCACAUUUUGCAUCACCCUCCAAUGAACUGAGCCCAACAUUCUUCUUCCUCCUCCUCCCCUUGCGAGUUCCGCCACUGUGAUUCCCCCUCUUCACCAUUUCCACUCUCUUCGACAAACCCCAAUAUCUCUCCCCGUCACCUAAACACUGUCCACUCACUUCCUCGCUCAACAAACUAAUCACAGUCUCUGCAUCAUUAACCCCACUAAAACAUCGCCUUCCGCGCAAUCUUACCCCCCCAAUCCCUCCCUUCCUUCUCCUAAGAAUUUUCUCACUCCCAUUAUUCUCCUUAAAACAACAACCAUGAUCAACACCAUAAUCCGGGACGCGGUAAUAAUCCCUACCCAUCCCACCCAAGAUCAACCUUCUAGAAGCUGAACAUUGAAUAAGACUAGCUUGCCUCAACCCAAAAAAAAAACCUGGGUUUAUUGGCACUCUAUGUAAAGUAGCAGUAGUAGUGAAUGAUGACGAUGCACAACAAGAACAAGAAAAGCAACAACAAGAACCACAUGAUGAAGAACAAGAUUGUAAUAAAAAUGGGUUUCCUUCAUUUAAUGAGUUAGAGUAUUCAUUGAAAGAAAAUGAAAGUGGCCCUUUCGUUCCAAGAGACAAAGAAGCUAAGCUAAUGUAAGUGUUGGGCAUCUUUUCUUUUCCAAUGUUAUAGAGAGAGGCUUACCUUAAUGGAUUUUGUGGAGUUUUUUAAGCUGAAACUGGGAGUGAAACCAUGUGAGGUGUUCUGUUUUGGAACUGGUUUCAUGAUUUCUACUUUCGGUUGAGAGAGAGCUAGUGAUUUUGAAUCCGAUGAGUUGACUCUCUCUGGGUUGGCUUAACUCGGUCGCCUAUACAGAGUGAAACAAACUGGGCUGCUGGCUUUUCAUGUGGUUGCACUUAACCAAACACUACUGGGCCUUCAAUGUAAUACUAAUUGGGCUCUGAUCUAAAAUUGUCUUCUUAAGAAGUCCAAUCCAUCCAGCCCACUAUAAAGACUGAGUUUUUGUGCUUUUACUUGCCGAAUUAAAGUCUCUUUUAUUAACUAGUAAUCAUUAUUGAUCGGCGCUAUUCCGGGUCAAUUUAAAAUUUUAUUAAUAUAUAAAAAAAAUAUUUAUUGUUAAUAUUUUUCUAGUAUAAAAAAAUUAACUGUGUGGAGGUUAAUUUGAUAUAUCCUGAUCACCUUGAUGGAUCUAAAAACAAUCGAAACAACGUAAAAAUAUAGUUUGAUUCAUAAAAAAUCAAGAAAAUAUUUUUAAAAAAAUAAUAUUGAAAUAAAAAUAUAUUGGAUCAAUCCGGGUCAACCCGAGUUAACCCCAUAUAAAGCAAAUCAAAAUAAAUUAUGAAAUUUAAUUCUCAAUCAACCCAAUGUUGAAGAAUGAAAUUGAAAAAAACUAAUAAAAAAAUAAUUGAAUUAACCUAUCAAACUCGUGACCCGGAUUAUGAGAUUAUGAUAACCUUAUAAAAAGUAAACAAAAAAAUGAUAUAGGUCAAUUUAGAUUAAUUUUUCAAACUCGCAACUAAAGUCAUGAGACUCGAAUAACUCCAUAAAAAGUAAAUCAAAAUAAAUUAUGAAUCUCGGUUUUUAAUAAAUCUAAUAUCAAAGGUUAAAAAUGAAAAAAAAACAAUUUAAAAACAUAACACGAUAAAACAACGUGAGUUGCAUGGGAUAACCCGCAAAACAUAUUACCUGAAUCAUAAGAUCAAGAUAACCUUAUAGAAAGCAAACUAAAAUAAAACAUAAAGUCUAAUUCAUAAUCAACCUAAUAUUAAAAGAUGAAAUAGAAAAAAAAUAUCAAUUAAAAAAUAUAAAAAAAAUACUCGAGUCAACUAGAUUAACUCGUCAAACUCAUGACUUAAGUCAUGAGACCGAUAUAACCUUGUAGAAAAUAAACCAAGAUAAAUCAUGAAGCCUAACAUCCAAUCAACUCAAUGAUAAAUGAUUAAAUUGAAGAAAAAUAUCAAUUAAAAAACAAAACUCGAGUCAACCCGUCAAACUCGUGACACGGGUUAUGAAACCAAGCUAACAACGUAUAAAGCAAACCAAAAUAAAUUGUGAAGCAUAAUCUUUAAUAAACUAAAUAUUAAAGUAUGGAAUUAGAAAGAAAAAUAGAUUUAGAAAGAAAAAAAAACUAUUAAAAUGAAUAGUAUUUUAUAAUACAGUGUAUAAUAAAUACACAAUCUCUCUUAAUUUAUACUAUAUUAAUUUUAUAUAAGUUAGAAAAAGUUUAUAAUACUCCAGGAUUAACUAACGAUGGCUACACUAUCAAUCCUCCUUAAAGAUACAGACAAGUAAAUAAACAAAAGAGAUAUGUUUAUUAAAAAAUUAUUUAUUAAAAUAUUUAUUUAGAGUUUAAUUGGAGAUGAUAAUGUAAAAAGAAACUCACUUAUGAAAUGAAUCAACAUCCAAUUAUGAAAAGUUAUGCUGCUUGCAAAAUAAAUUACAAGAUUGUGUACGUACUCUUGUUAUUUUAAUUAUACAUGGGAUUUAGAUAAUAAUAUCAUUUAGAGGAUAAAAAUAAUGAUUUUGAUGAUUUAUCGUAGUAGUAGAUUAAUACUAUACAUGUGUUACGAGAAUAUACUCGAUGAUGUUUUCUUAAGAUAAAAACAUAAAAUCUCAAUGGCUUUUAAUUUUUUUUAUUUUAAAUUAAUAUGUUUUUAAAUUAUUUAAUAUACUCGAUGAUGUUUUCUUAAGAUAAAAACAUAAAAUCUCAAUGGCUUUUAAUUUUUUUUAUUUUAAAUUUAAUGUUUUUAAAUUAUUUUGAUAUAUUGAUAUAAAAAAUAACUUUUUAAAAGUAAAAAAUAUUAUUUUAAUAUGUAUUUUAAUAUAUUUUAAAAUAAAAAAUACUUUAAAAAACAACUACAAUCAUAUUUCUAAAUUUUAACAACGGAACUGUUUUUUUAAAAAAUAUAGUCCUGUACAGUACUGGCAAUCUAGAUAUAAAUUAAAUAAAUAUUUAAUCGAUUGAUUAUUCAUCACUGGAUACCUAAUUUCUCUGUGCCUAAUAAAAAGUCAGCAAUUCUGUUUGAUAACUUCAAAUCAAGCAUGGUGCCGGCCGGCCCGUGGAAAAAAUCAUGCAUGGUGGCUAUGGCUAACAAGCACCUUCAAAGUAGAUUCUCUCUUAAAUCCCAAUUCAGAGCACUCACAAUUGACAUAAUUCAUUAAUUAUUAUUCAUUUGUCCGUGGAAACGCAGUAUACGUUGCCAAAAAAGACUCAGUUUAUCAUUUUUUAAUUAAGAUGAUCAGCUAGUGGCAACCCUUUAUUCUGGUGAUUAUGUUUUGAUUUUGUAGAUUGAUUAAACUCUUGACUUGGACAAAAGUUAUGGAUAUAUUUGGUUAUAAACAAUGUUUAGCUUAUUUUAAAAAUCAUUAUAAAAUUAAAUUAAAACUCUACUUUAAUAUUAGUUCUCAAUCUUAACUUGUACUAUUUUUCUUUAGCCAAAUAGACGUUUCGAGUCAAAAAGAUUCAUCAACCAUGUUUUUAACUUGAUUAUUUAUAAGUUAUUCAUAAAAAAUAAUUAAAUAAAUAAUAUUAAUUCGCGAUUAGAAUCAUAACAAUUGAAAAAAAUACGAGACUAAAUUAAAACCUCAGUAAACCUAAAUGAUGAAAUUGCUGUUAAUGGCAGUGUACACUUGUCGGAACUUAGCUGUGUUGCGCAUAAAAUAUUAAUUUAAACAUCUCUAAAUUGAGAGCUGUUGCAGCUGUUCUUCUUUUUCCGCACGGUCCUCUUCAUUAAGGCACAUCUUAAGGUCUCAGCUAAUCUCUUAUAUUCGUCAAAAGAAGAUUAAUUAGCUCCUACAAUUAAUUAAUGAAGCCCUGGCAUAAAUAACAUGUAUUUUUCUUUUUAGUACAAAGACAUGAAUUUCACGUGGCACAAAUAGUUUUACGACACAUCAGUCAACAUGCUUUUUUUUAUUAAGAAAUCAAAAGGCAGACUCGAACCUGUAUGCAUGCAUGCAUGCAUGUAUGUAUGUAUGAGUGAGUGAGUAACAACAACAUUAUUAAUGAUAGUAUAAAUUAAGUAGAUAUACUAUUUGAAUGAUAAAAUCAAUUAAUCCAAGGAUCAGGGGGUUACAAUGGCUUGAAAUCUCAGGCGUUGACGCGUUCGUAUGAAUAAUUGAGUACAGGUCCUCAAAAUUCUUCAGUCCUCUUCGACGUCUUCAUUAUUCCUUGGCCAGCAUUACGUAUAGUAAUAAAACUCAUAAUAUACAGAACCCUCACACACACAUAAUGUAUAUAAAAUCUCCUGGGAGGGCAUGUGUAAGUCUUGGUGGCUAAACUGGCUGGAUCUUUCUGUAUUUGUUGCUUUUGAUUAAUGAAGAAUUCUAGUUUAUCUAUAAAAAAAGACUAACUGUAGAAGCUCUGGGCCUGAAAUGUUUUAAUAUACACUCCAACUUGUUGGACGAACGCGUUUCAGGAUGCCUCCCAUUCCAAUUUUGAUUCUUUUAUUUUUGUAAAAAACAAGAGGUUUUUUAUUGGGAUAAUAAUCACAGCUAUAUAUAUAUAUAUAUAUAUAUAUAUAUAUAUAUAUAUAUAUAUAUAUAUAUAUAUAUAUAUUCACACACACACGUUCUGAUGUUUUGUAUUUUGAAAUUAACCUCAAUCAUGAUCGAUGAAAGCAAGAUCAGUUUAAUUUUCCUUAGCAACUGCCGCGCGCAUCAGCUGGAAUAUUUGUGAUUGGGAUUUUAUCUCUGAUGUAUUGGAGAUUAUUAGAGAAUAAUAAAGAUUAUGUAUUUGAAUUUUAUUUAAUAAUUUAAGUAUUUAGAUUGAAUUAGUUUUUGAUAUGAUAUAAAAUUUCUAUUUAAGUUUUUAAAUUAAAUUUUACUUCAAAAGAAAAGAAAUAAAAAUGAGGAGGAGGAACUUAACUCAUCUGAACGAAGUCCCCCGCCAUGAUCAGUAGCCUUUGGCGGGUGUCAUUUGAUGUUGAAAGCGGCUUCAUUCAUGUGAAAUUCCUUUCACCAACUUUCAUGUGGUGGUAUUAAACAUUAGUAUUAUCUACGACUACUAGUAAUAGGCAACGUCGUGGAGAAAGAUUGACAAAGAAGUGAGCCCUUUUCACUGUUAAAUCAUCCAAUAUAAAGUAUUCCUUGUUGUGUUUAAGUUGAAAUUGGUGUGAUAUUGUUGGUUUUUCUUAGCUCUGUGACGCUAUGGCUUUGAUAAAUUUACCCUAAAUAUUGAUACCCCCUUCAUUGCCUUGCAGGGAUAUUAAUUAAACCAGAAAAAAAACACACCUUAUAUGCACCCACGAUCCAGUGACGAAGCUAUAAUUUUAAUAGAAGGUGACAAUAGUCGCGAAGGGAGAAAGAAUAAUCCAUCACUAUAGUUUUUUUUAAUGAUAAUAUUCCAUUAAUAUUUCCAGAGAUAUAUAGUAUUAUUUAAAAUAAAUAAGUAGCAACAAAACAACAUUGUGGUCAACAGUAUCAUUAAUAGAAAAUAUAUAUAUAUAUCAAACAUUCCCAAAACAAUUUUUAUAAAUUAUAAAAAUCAUUUUAAAGCUCCAUUACACAAUCGAUAGGUUUCUAAUUGACAAUUAGCGAUCUUUCUCAAUUGCAUAAAGUAUAAAUAUAAAAGUAAGAACGAAAUAUUCCAAAAAUCAUUGAAUACAUUAAUUUACCAGUUAUACACCAUUAAUUCUUGUUAAUUUUCAUUUGAUAACGAAAUAUAUUUAAAGAAAAUUUGGCUGAUUGAUAUUCUCAAGAUGCAUGAAACUAAGUCAUUGGUCACGAGUUCACCGAGUCAAUAUAUAAAUAAAAAUUAUUAUUAGUAUAAUUUUAAAAUUCAACUCGAGAUAAGGUUCAAAUCAUGAAUUGGAUGAAUCAUCCCAGCUGAUCCAAAUUUAAUUUUAAGAGUAAUCAAAACAAAAUUAUUUUAACUAAAAAUAAUUUUUAAAAAAAUUAAUAAUUUUUUUAUUGGUUCAAGCAUGGUCAAUCAUUUCUCUAUUUCUUCUUAAACUCUAUAUAUUAAUGGUAAAAUAUAAUUUUUUUAUAUUUUAUUUUGUUUUGUUUACAAUAUCUAAACAUGAUAUAAAAAUAAUUAUUUUAUUAUGUACAUUAUUAUCAAAUAUAUUUUUAUAUAUUUUUUUUAUCUUAUCUCUAUUGUUUUUAUAUUGUUUUCGUAUUUUAUGUCCUGUGCCAAACGCUUCCAUAAUAUACCACAUGCUUGCCAGAUAAAAAGCCCCAAGGCACCACUGCCGAACACCUGGGAUCAGGGCGGCGAUGGCUAGACUUCUUAUUUGUCUGUCAUAUAUUUCGUUGCCCCAGACUCGGAUAAUGUUAGUCCUUUUAAAAGAGCCAUAGAAAUGGGUUGUGCAUGGAUCCAUGUUAGUAGCGGUGAUUAUUUUUUGUUCGGUUUGGUUUUUAUUAAAAAAAAUAAUUAAAUCAAAACUGGUUCAAACCGACCAGUUUCGGUUCAGUUUUUUAGGACAAAAACCGGUUCAAACUGGUUUGGCUCGGUUUUUCUGAUUUGGCUCAGUUUUUCCGGUUUGGCUCAGUUCGGUUUUUUCGGUUUCGGGCUUAUAAAACCAAAACCGAACCGAUCGGCUUUUUCAAAAUUUUAAUCGGUUUUUUUUACGGUUCGGUUUUUUCAAUUAUUUUUUUUUAGUUUUCUCGAUUUAAUUGAUUUUUCAGGUUUUUUACUUAUCCCUGAAUAUUAGCACCAUAUACAUUCGAAUAAUUGAUUGAUAAAUACAUAGUCCCUUUUAAUCAUUGCAUUUUUUAUUUUCAGGCUCGUCGUUGUCUUUCUAGAUAAUUCUGUCAGGCUCCCAAAUGAGACGGUAAUCUAAUAUAUUUCCCAGAAACUGUUGUCACAGUACUCCAAUGACCAUACGAGCACAAUUUCUAUGUAGAGUUUUGUACGUCGUACAUGACAAUCUAGAAUAGUUGACUAGUCCAAGUUUGAUGACAAGUCAAGGUCCAAGGAUGAAGAUAACCUUUCUUCCAGUUAACUAUCAACACGUUCAAUAUAGACGCUUAACGACGACCAUUUCAAAAAACAUGUAUGGACUUCUUCAUGUGAACAAAAAAAUGGCAUGAUUUGGUAUCUAUUCAACAAACUAAUUAAUUCGCCCCGGAUAAUUAUAGCACAGAAAGGUUUUAGCUUGAGUGAUGUAAAUCCAAAAGGAUCGAAGGACCAAGUCAUGAAUCAGUGAUGAAUUUAGAUUUAACAACAAAAAAUCUUUAUAGAUGAUGAAAUUGGGUCUUAGUUUAUAGUAUAAUAUAUGCUAAGCUCAGUUAUGUGUUUCGUUGCCAGCCGGAUCAAAAUCCAUGUUGCUAUCGUUUCAACCUAUACUUAACCCUAACUCAAAUGUAAAAUAAUAAAUUUGUCAAAUCAUAAAAUAGCAAAAAAUCCAAGAAGUGAAAUGAAAAUAUAGCAACACAUUGAAUUGCUCCGUGUUAACUUGUGAAAUUGACAACUCAAGUAAUGAACACAAUCAUAGUGACUUAACCCGAUUAGCCAACCUUCCUCUUUUUUUUCCUACCCUAUCCUUUUCAUGGUUAGGCUUUGAUCGAAUCUCAAUUGACCUUAGGUUCGAUUAAAGAAUGAAGACAAAGUAUAAGAAAUAGAUAAAUGAUGAACUCAAAAAAUAUUAGCUUAAAAAAAGAAGGAAAAAAGCAAAAUCAAACGAAUCUCCUAAACUUUGAUUAAUCUUCUAAACUCGCAACUCAUGAAAUCUUAAGACCAAGUUCAAUAAAAAAACUCAAUUCCUAAUUAAUUUAAUGUUGGAAGAUGAAAUGGUAAAGACAAAUAAAAAAAUGUCAAGGUAAAAGAAAUUGCAAUAAAAAGAACGAGAAUAAAAUCAAUUAGAAAAAAAUUGGAGGAUGAAGUUAUUAAAAAACUUUAAUUCUAAAAUAUGUAAAAUAAAUAGCAAUAAAGGGAAUGAGUAUCAAUUUUAACAGAUAAAAAAAACAAAAAAGAAUGAAAUUGAAAAAAUAAAUAAAAAGUUGAAGGAUGAAAUUAAAAAAACACUAGCUUAAAAAGAGGGAGGGGGGAACCAAGCAAAUCAGGGCGCAUUCUCUAAACCUCGAUUAACCUUUCAAGUUUGCAACUUGUGGAAUCUUAAACCUUGGUUCCAAUCAGGAAAUUCAAUUCCUAAUCAAUUUAAUGUUGGAGAAUGAAAUUAUAAAAAAAAAAAUUGCCAAAGCAAAAGGAAUUUCAAUAAAAAGAAUAAGGAUUAAAUCAUAUAAGAAAAGUUUUUUGAAAGGGGGUGGAAUUGUAAGGAAAAGCUUUAAUUCUACAAAUUAUCUAAAACAAAACAAAUAGCAAUUAAGAAAAAGAGGACCAAAUCUGACAUAAAAAAUUAAAGAAAAAUGAAAUUUAACAGAAAAUAUAAUUAUAUAAACCAUCUAAAAAAAUAGUGAUAAAAAAACAAGGAUUAAGUCUUAAUGAAAAAUAAAUUGAAGGGUUACUUGAAAAAUCUAGAGUGACGUGUGAAAGUCGAGGUGAAAAGAAAAAAAAAAGAAAAAAAAAGUUUAUCGGUAUCAAAUUAGAGGUCAGAAUGCCACACAUUGUCGUGAGAGGAAGAGAUUGUCAAGACGAUUCCAACUACACUAAAGAAGUCCAUCAUUGAUUGUUAAACAUUAUUGCAUGUGUAAUUUGAAGGCGAUAAAGCAUUUGAUGCGUGUGCUAGCUAGCUUUCAAUUUUUAUUAUCAUUUUAUAUUUAUUAAAGGACUAAAUUGCCAUGUAAACAUAAUUAUAACAUAAAAACCAGGUUAGAAAAUGAAAUAACCCUGGAAAUCAAUUUAUUAGUUUUUGCUUUCAAAGGGUAUUUUUAUCAUGGUAUUAUGCUAACUAGAAGAAAAGAGAUGAGAAUGGCCUUUGAUGACGGUUUAUUAUUAUUUUUUGUUUUUUAAUGGUAAUUUAGAAUUGCAUUGUUAAAAAAACAAAAAAAGGAAAAAAAUCGAGUUGUUCCUAUUGAAUUUUGUAAUAACUAACUAUUAUGUCAAAAGAUCAAAUUAAAAAAAAAAUUACACAGUACAUAAUGAUGACAAAAAUGUUUUAGCCUUCCGUUUCGUUUUAGUUUUUUUUUAUUAUUAUUCCAUGAACAAUUGCAAACUAUUUCCCUCCCGGGCUUGAUAAAAUUAUGUAAAAUGACGUAGGUGUUAGCUCGGUAAUCGUCCACUUAGUUAAUUUCCAUGCCCAACAUGUUUAAUUGGAAUUAGUGAUUCGGUCACCGUCCACUUGGUUAAUUUCCAUGUCCAACACAGUGAUCAUUAGGUUCUCCGUUCCUUCAAUUCAUUGUCUGAUGUCUACUGAUUUUUUUUUAUUAUUAAUAUAAGUAUUCGGAUUAAUUUGCGUGUACUUCGAUUAAUCCCACGGAUCCUGAAAUUAACGACCAUGUAAGCUUCCAGUAGCCCUGAGAUUUAUGGGACUCGAACUAGUAUUUUUUCAGGAACAAACCUAGAACUUGAUUAGUUGAGCUACACCCCUCAGAUUAUCUACUGAAAUUUUUAAAUAAACAAGAAUACACUGUGAUUUUGCUGUGUCUUUAAUUUCAUUGAUCAUUAUCAUUAUCAUUUAUGAACGGGCCAAAUCCUUGGGAAGGGAAAACUGAUAAUAUGGUAUUGUUUGAAGAAAUAAUUUAUCUACAAAUGGGUCAAUUUUUAUUAUAAAAUACAUCCACAUAUAUAUAAUUUGAAUAAAGAGUCUUUUAUCCAACUCAAACAAAUAUUCUACCUGAUGCUGAAAUCGUUUUAAUAUUUUUAUGGAGUGAAUGAUUUAUUCCAUCUUAUAUAUGAACUUGUAGAACAAUUUAAGGGCUUUGACCGUAUAAAUACAAAUAAAAUUAAUUUUUAAAAAAAUCAAGGACCAGAAUAUAUACAAUUCUGUCAUCCACAUUGGUGGACCUAAUUAAACAAAAAUUCGUCCAACAUUUGGAAUGAAACCUUACAAGAAUAUUAUUCAAAUCCGAGGGCUGCUGCUGCUGUUCUCCCUUGUCUCUUCUAAGACCCACCGUUGUACAUAGACGAAUCAUAUGGAGUGCACAGAUUAAUUGAUUGAUUCCAGUUAUUUACCAUUAGGCAAAGCCAAGAGCUACGUGACUGCGAACAAGAUGGAGUAAUGCAGAAGAGUAAGAUUUGAGCUAUUUGGUAAUUUACGAGUGGUCAAGUCAUUUUCGUAAUCCUGGAAAAUAGAGGGUAAAUCCCACCUAUAUAUUACGAAUGGUCACAAUUAUUUUAUUUUCAUAAAUAGUAGCCUCAUUUAUUUGUUUUUUUAAUCACUAAAUCCAAUGAGAUUGAAUUCUAUGACAAGAGCAGCCUUCACCAUUCCUAAACCCCACCUCCAUCCACUGAACUUAAAACUUUCCAUUGAAAACCCUAAAUCUUAAUUACCUUCAGGGAUGUUGCUCGAGGAUCUGACAACAACCCUAGAUCACGAGCAAUCCAAAAUUACUAUCAUGAUUUUUUACCGUGUUUGAAAUUGCAGUAAUAGUUGUUUUAAAAUAAUAUUUUUAUUAUUUUUAAAAUUUAUUUUUAAUACUAGCAAAUCAAAAUAUUUAAAAAACAUUAAAAAAAUAAUUUAAAAAAAAUCAAAAUUCUAACGAACAACAUUUUAACAACAAUGCCAAACAAACUUUUCACCUCGCAAGGGAAUCGUCUUUUCGUGCGAGAGACAAUUAAAUUGGCAUGAUACGGACAUGGAAGCAUGCACAUUCCUAGUAUCAGUUAUCAGAACAUGAUCUACGAGGAUAUGCAAAUACGCUUGUAGAGUAAAUGACAAGGCAAUGUUUCUUUCUUUCAUGGACUGCCCGUCCCAAGCGCCAAUGACUUGGAGCCCCUCUCAGCUUCUCCCUCCCUCGUUCAGAUUAUGGACACCAUUGGAUUUGCUUGGUGAGGCACUAUACUUGCUCCUUCAUUUCCUCUAACUUAAAACUGGUGUCAAGACUCGACAUGUUCUUAAUUUCCCAUCGAAGAAAAAACUCUGCUGUUACAAGAAUGGUCUUCUAUCCAGACGUCCUAGCCAAGGGGACGACGUCUACCUUUCCUUGGUUGUAAACAAUACAAGAACGAUGGGUAAUUUGAAGAUCUUAGAUCAACCCUGUCAUGGGCUCCACGCCUUUCAUUUCAAGUGGCAUUCUAGAAGAUCAGAUAGAAAUUAACAUAUUUUGAAAUUAUAACACAGAGGUUGAAUUAUAGAACUUGGUAGCUUUUUAAUUUAUUUAUAAUAAUGUAAACUACAGUUCUGAUUCCGUUCAAUAUUGAUUUUUCUUUUAAACUUUGUCAUGCAUUUAUAUUGAACUUGUUUGAUUUCCCUCUUUAAACCAGAUUCAUUUUCACACUAUAUAUGCAUGCCCACGACGAGGAAUGAUAAUACACACACACACACACACACCCCUGUUGAUCUCGUUAUGACCUGUUUUCAACUAAAGAAUCUCCACUAGCAUAAUUUUUAUUUUUUACAAGUCAAAAGGAGAAAUAAAAUAUAGAUAAAAUUUAAGAGGGGUAAUUACAAAAAAAUAAAAAAUAAAAAAUACACCAAAAAGACAUCAUUGUAGGUUCUUUCAGUACCUUUCCCAAACAAAAUCAAUGAAUUUGUUACCAGAGGUAAUUCGGUUUUUUCGCUUGUGUCUAUUUUUUAUUAUUAUAUUGAUCGAGAAUAAAUUAAUAUUUUUAUAUUUUUUUAAUUAAUAAAAUAACAUAAUUACUUUUAAAACAAAAAAAAUAUUAAAUUGGCAUCCAAUAGCUUUUUUGUCUCUCAUUUUUUAAAUAGUUAAAUAACUAAAUUAUCCUUCAAAGCAAAAAUUACUAAAUUAGUGUUCAGGGUUUCUUUUUUGUAUUUUCAUCCUUUUUUUUGUUAUAAUCAAGUUGACUAAGAAACAAUUUAGUAAUUUGAUAAAUCUAAACAUUAUUUAAAAAAGUGGUUUGCGCGUGCAUUGCACGUGUCAACAUGUAAGAUGUGGCCUCGAUAUUCGGUUAGUGUGCGAGGGGGCUUUGAAGGCCAAACGGUGGUUUAUGGGGUAGCAUCCAAAAUCUAUUGGCGGCCAUUCCAUUCCUGGACGGCACGUGUGGCAAAUAGACCUUCGGUUUGGUGUCAGCGAUCUUUUUUCUUCUUUUUUCUCUUCUCUUUGAUUUCUGUGCCCGACCCUCUGAAUUUUCAAAGCAACCCUUCAAUUUGUUUCUAUCUUUAUAUUUGGUUUCUAUUCCUUUUAUUACUAUUUAUUUUAUUUAAAAUAAUUUAUAAAAUAUAUUUUUUUAAUUUCACCCCUCUUUAAUUUUUUUAUCUGUCAGAUUUGACUCUCAUUAUUCUGAUUACUAUUUUUUUUAUUUAAGAUAAUUUUUUUUCUUCUUACAAUUUUAUCCUCUAAUUUUUUCCUAUUAAAUUUUUUCCUUAUUUUUUUUCACUUUAGCUAAUUUUUUAAAAUUGAUAUUUUUCUCAAUUUCAUACUUCAACAUUGAAUUAGUUGAAAAUUGAGUUUUUUUUAUUGAGUCUAGGUCUAAGAUUUCAUGGGUUGCGAGUUUGGAAGAUCAACCCAAAUUUAGGAGAUUCACUCGGGUUUACUUAGUCCUCCCCUUUUUUUAAGUUCAUUUUUUUUCAGUUUCAUCAUUAAACAUUUAUUUAAUUGGAGAUUGGACUCUAUUAUUAUUUUUUAUUUGAUUUCUAUAGGAUUUUUUACUGAUUUUGAAAAUAAAUCGGGUUAUCUCAGGUGUUUUUAUUUGUCGUUCUUUGUUAAAUCUUGUUUUUUUAAAAAGAAAUUUUAUUUUUUAAUUAAAUUAAAGUAAUUGAUUAAACAUAGGCGUGAGAUGCUCACUUCAUGAUAUUUUGUUUGUUUUGUUUUUUGAAUCGUUUCUCUUACAACGUGUGCUGCGUCUUUUAGCGUCGCUGAGCAUCCUAUCACAAUGGUGUUAGAACCGUCUCUGUGAGUUUUUUUCAAGUAGUGAGGUGAUGUCGAAGGUAGAGCGACAUUGAAUAUCUAAUGAGCUUUUCCUUUUCUCCUUCCAAAUACAAUAUUGAUAAUUUAUUUUUUAUAGUUAAUUAUUAUUGAUUUUUUUUUUUUUUUUAUUGUCAAGACUUAUUAAAUUCAAUCAAAUCAAUGAUUGAGAUCUUAAUUUUUUUUUAAAAAAAAAUCAGAACCGCCUGAAUAUCUAUCUUUAUAUUAUGAAAAAAUUAACUCGAUUCAUGACGCGGCGCGAGUCACCAAAAUAUUGACCAUCAUAUAGUGUAAACAAAAUAUUCAUGGCAGCAAUUCCUAAAUUAAAAAACCCUGGCAACUGAUUAAAAAAAGAAAAAUUGACCCGCGCUGCUUCUGUCGCCGUCAUGACGGCGCCAUCUGGCAAUCCAAAGUCCAAACAAGACCAUGGCUCAAAACGUUCAAUAAAGAAGCACACACCUAACGGUUGGUAUUAUAAUUAAAUUAAAACCCGAGGUUUAUUCUUAAUCCGCAUUUGAUUAUCUCUCUCUCUCGAUAUGUUUUCUUUUUUCUUUCAGACUCGAUAGAUAAUUAAAUUAAUUGGAAGACCACAUUUCCGAUUCUCUUUCUUAGUUAUUUUCUUCCUAUGUUAUCUUACCUACAUUAUCUCAUGAUGUCUUCUUCCCUGUCUCCUAGGUUUAGGCCCUGAGCUAAAAUCUCAAGUGUUUUUUUAGUCUAAUAAUAAAGUGUUUUUGAAUUAAUUUAUACAUCAAUUAAUAUUAAUUUUUAUUUUUUUUUAAUUUCAAAGAUACGCACCUGCAUAACUUGGUAUAUUUAAAUAAUUUAUUUUGAAUCUAAAAAAAAACCAAUCUCAUUAACCAUUAAUGAACUCUUAAAUGUAAAAUUAGGAAUAAUGAUCUAAAAAGAAAAUGCUUGCCCCUCAAAGCAAGUAUCAAAAUCAUCUCUUAUGAAGUUUAUAAACGAAUGAAAGUUUAAAUUGUUUUUUGAAGUGUUUUUUUAUAUAAAAAUAUAUAAAAAUAAUAUUUUUUUAUUUUUUAAAAAUUAUUUUUGAUAUCAAUGCAUCAAAACAAUUUAAAAUAUAUAAAAAAAUUAAUUUUUUUUUAAAUUUAAAUUUUUACAAAACAUGAAACACAGUUUAAAUGCCAUAUUCACGGAGGAAGCACCGUUCCCGUCAUUCACCGUCAAUUCUAGUAACAGUUAUUAAUCAAUCAAUCUUACAGAUCUCAUGCAAGGCUUCCCUUCUAGAAUUACUCGCGUCACCGUAAUAAAAUUACCUUCCAAUAAAUAAUAAUAAUAAUAAUAAUAAUGAAAAAAGUCUUCAAAGUCUCGAAGCCAUCAGUCCUCGCAUAUACGGUGCUAAAUUUCCAUGGAAAAAGCAUUUUGACAAAUUCGUACAUCUAGAAGGAGCGUGUUUUCACAAUUAAUAUAAUAUUUCAUAACAAGAAGACUUGCUUUUCUUUUUGGGGGUUAAACAAGGAUAUUUCCGGAUUAAUUUUCAUUUAUCUAUAUAAUAAAAAAACAGAAUGGCGAGUGCUCCUAAAACAGGGAAGUAUUUUUUUAUAUAAACCAUCAUGUAAAGAAUAUUUCAACAAUAAAGAUAUUUUUAGGUUAGUUUUCAGCUAUCAAGAUUCAAGACUAAAUCUUUUUCGAUGAAAUUCUAAAUAAAGUAUUUCUGUUUUAAUGGACUCAAGAAGAUAUUUUCUUCAAACUUUGAAUGUCAAAGAAAAAAACCCAAAUUUCUUUAUCAUUUAACUAAAACCUUAAAAAAAUUAUAAAAAAUAAUCUUAAAUUCGUUUGAAAAUGACUUUAAAAAUAAGUUUAGUAUAAAAUUAAUACUUUUAAGAGUCUUGAAUAUUAAUAUAUCAUCAUAAAAAAACACAAAAUAAAUAAAUAAAUAAAACUAAUGCACUUCCAAUUCCACUUUUCCAAAAGCAAUAAAUGAAAAGGUAACUAUUUUCAAAGCAGCAGGGUAGCUAUUGAACCAAAGAGAAAAUAAUAAAUGAAAGAAAAUGAAGAACCAAAGAGAAAAGGUAACUAUUUUCUUUUUUUCGAAGAAAAAAGGUAACAGAGAGUUAAAUGAAAAGAGAAAAAACGAAAGGUAAAAAAACAAAAAAGAGGGAUCUAAUUGAACCAAAGUCUACGUUCAUAGCGUACAAGAUGCGCCAUCUCUCUUCUUCGUUUUCCUGCUGCUUUCCUUCUCCAAGAAAAAAUAAAAGAGAAAAUCCAAUGAAGGAAUAUCUUAAUUUAAUCAAAAAUACCAAUUCAAUGUAAGACUGCCAUCAUACACGUUGACAUUUUUCUCCACUAUCUAUUUAUAAGGAGAAUGGUUUGUUUGAGGACACAAUCCUGUUAACACCUUUGUGUCCUUCAGAGUAAACCACCCUUGUACUCUCUUGCCUUUGUGUUCUUGUUCAAAGGUAGAGAUUACAUAUAAUAAUUCACAUGAUCAUAGCUUCCCUUGUACUCUCUGCUUUUCUCUAAUCCCCUGUCAAUUUUCCUCGAAGUUCUUUGCUUUUCCCUUCUUUUCUUGUUCAAUUUUGAUGCUUGUGUUUUUGGGUUCUUGAAUUCUUAGCUUUUAGGGUUCAAUCACAUCUGGGGUUGGAUAUUACUGUGAAUUCUGCUUCUGGGUAUUCCUGUUUUCAUUCAAAGGAGCUGCAUUUUUAGCAUUCUUAAGUAUAAAGCCAAAAGGUUCUGGUGUUUGUUAGAGAAAGAGAGACAUGGCUGGUGGUGGUAAAAGGAAGAGGUUGAGUCUGAGCAAACUGUACUCGUUUGCAUGUGGAAAGACAUCUUUAAAGGGUGAUCAGUCCCAGAUGGGGGCACCUGGGUUUUCCAGGGUAGUUCACUGCAAUGAACCAGACUGUUUUGAGGCCAAGAUUAGAAGAUAUAGUGGCAACUAUGUUAGUACUACAAAGUACAAUGUUGCUACUUUCUUGCCCAAAUCAUUGUUUGAGCAGUUCAGAAGAGUGGCUAACUUCUAUUUCUUGGUUGUGGGUAUCUUGGCUUUCACCCCUCUUGCACCUUACACAGCUGUCAGUGCUAUUUUCCCCCUUAUUGUUGUUGUUGGAGCUACCAUGGUUAAAGAAGGUAUUGAAGAUUGGAAGAGAGCUCAGCAGGUAUGGUUUUAAUUUUUUAUUUGUUUGCUCAGAUUGGAUAUGUUUAUUGAUUAUGGUUUGAUGUGUUUGUAAUGUCUUCUUGACUUCUCUUAAAGUGAAGUUUCAAAUUACUCUCUACUGAUUGAAUGGUAUUCAUAUGAUUUGAUGAUGAAAUUUUGGGAUUAUUUUUUUAUUUUUUUUUGAUUUUUUUCAUGUUAUUUGCUUGGACAUAUCUGGGAAAUAUUUUGCAUAGAAGUUUAGUAAGGCUUUAGAUGACACCGAUAAACAAGAUGAAAGAUCAGAACUUUAACUCAUUUUUACUGAUUCAUGCAUCUUAUCCUAGACUUUGUGUGACUUAUAAGAAAUAUUGAAACAUCAGAUACAGGAUGAGCCUUCUGCUCUCUCCUAGGGUAAUUUGUGCUACACUAGUUAGCAUCGAAACUCCUGUUCCCAAGAAACAGGACUAUACAAAUUGCAGUCCAGUUGAUAUUGGAUAUGUUUUACCUGCAACUUCUAAAAUGCUUCCGUGUUCUCGUGCAUGCUAUCAGAGAUGUCUGAGUGGCAAAUGAUAAGUAUGCUUGAUCAUCUAUCCUCUAUUGAAAUUUCUCAUAUCUGAUUUGUACUCUUUUCUUUCGGAAUGGAUUCUCAGGAUAUCGAGAUGAACAAUAGAAAAACUAGAGUGCACCAGGGUGAUGGAACUUUCAAAUCUACUGGAUGGAAGAAUCUGAGGGUGGGAGACAUAGUGAAGGUGAAGAAGGAUGAAUACUUUCCAGCAGACCUCCUCUUGCUCUCAUCAACUUUUGAAGAUGGAAUCUGCUAUGUUGAGACCAUGAAUCUAGAUGGAGAAACAAAUUUGAAACUCAAACAGGCAUUGGAGGCAACAGCAUUCAUGCACGAGGACUCUUACUAUAGGGAUUUCAAGGCUCUUAUCAAAUGUGAAGACCCAAAUACAAAUUUGUACUCCUUCGUUGGCACUCUGGACUUUGAACAGAACCUGUAUCCCCUCUCUCCUCAACGGCUUCUCCUCAGAGACUCCAAACUCAGAAAUACAGAGUAUAUAUAUGGGGCAGUUAUCUUCACUGGACAUGACACAAAGGUUAUGCAAAAUUCUACAGCUCCCCCUUCAAAGAGAAGCAAAUUUGAGAAGCAGAUGGAUAAAAUUGUUUACUUCUUAUUCUUUGUUCUAUUUAUGAUGGCAUUUAUUGGAUCUCUUGUUUUCGGAGUUGCAACUGACAAUGACUUGGAUGGAGGGAGGAUGAAAAGGUGGUAUCUCAAACCAGAUGAGUCUACUGUUUACUUUGACCCUAAAAGAGUGGUCUUAGCAUCAAUUUGUCACUUUCUGACUGCUCUCAUGUUGUACAAUUACUUCAUCCCAAUCUCCCUGUACGUGUCAAUUGAAGUCGUCAAAGUUUUUCAGAGCAGUUUCAUCAACAACGAUAUCAAUUUGUACUAUGAGCCAUCUGACAGGCCAGCACAUUCUCGCACCUCAAAUUUGAAUGAGGAACUUGGGCAAGUGGACACGAUACUUUCUGACAAGACUGGAACAUUGACCUGCAAUUCCAUGGAGUUCAUCAAGUGUUCUGUCGCGGGGACUGCUUAUGGCCAUGGGGUUACAGAGGCUGAGCGGGGAAUGGGUGUGAGAGAAGGUGAAAGUGUGAAUGGUUGGGACCAGAGCAAGGAUUCUUCCACUACAAAACCGCACAUUAAAGGUUUCAAUUUUAAAGAUGAAAGGAUUAUGGAUGGGAACUGGGUCCAUGAACCCCAAGCUAACAUCAUUGAAAAUUUUUUCCUCUUGUUGGCAAUCUGUCACACUGCCAUACCUGAUGUGGAUGAAGAAACGGGGAAGAUUUCAUACGAAGCUGAAUCACCAGAUGAAGCAGCAUUUGUGAUUGCUGCAAGAGAAAUUGGUUUUGAAUUCUACAAAAGGACUCAAACAAGCGUUGCAGUGCGUGAGUACAAUCCAAAGACUGGGAAGAAAGUUGAAAGGGUGUAUACAGUUCUGAAUGUUUUGGAGUUUAACAGUGCAAGAAAGCGGAUGUCUGUGAUAGUAAGAAAUGAGGAGGGGAAACUGCUAUUACUUUGUAAAGGUGCUGACAGGUUUGUGAUCAACUACCUUGAAACCCUUGAAAUUGGAAAAUUCCUUGUCUUUUAACCUAUUGCUUAUUAAUUAAAUUUAACCUGUAUCAUAUGCAGUGUCAUGUUUGAAAGGCUUGCUAAGAGUGGAAGGGGGUUUGAAGAGGAGACCAAGAAUCAUGUGAAUGACUAUGCUGAUUCUGGCCUGAGGACCCUAAUACUUGCCUAUCGUGAACUUGCUGAAGAAGAAUACAAAAUUUUUAACCAGAAAUUCACCGAGGCUAAGAAUUCAGUUAGUGCAGAUCGGGAAACAUUGAUUGAUGACAUGGCAGAGAAGAUCGAGAGGAAUCUAGUUCUUCUUGGCGCAACUGCUGUUGAGGAUAAACUCCAAGAAGGGGUGAGUAAGAAAACCUAAAAUGUUCUAAAAUAAACCGGCCUUUUUAGAGAUCUUGAAUUUUUUGUUCUUAUACUGUGUACCCUUUAGGUUCCUGCCUGCAUAGACAAACUUGCUCAAGCUGGAAUUAAGAUGUGGGUUUUGACUGGAGACAAAAUGGAGACUGCCAUAAACAUUGGGUAUGUUGUUUUUUGAAAAAGAGUGUUUGUAUUGACACUUUUAAGAUGAGUGGACAUUUCAUAUUAUACGUGGAGGCAUCUGACUUAAAAUUUUGAAUAUGCAGCUUCUCCUGUUGUUUGCUUAGACAAGGAAUGAAGCAGAUCAUAAUCAAUUUGGAGAAUCCAGAGAUCCUGUCAUUGGAAAAAACAGGAAACAAGGAUGCCAUUACUAAGGUAAAGACUGCUUUAAUUCAUCAAAGAUUUCAGUCCACUUCAGGUUAUUUACCCGUGAUUUAUUUUCCUUUUCUCCUGGUGUCAUCUCGGUUGGGAGAAAGGGUGUUGAAGUCAAAGAUGCACCUUAAUUGUUAUGAAUCUAUAUGUGAUAUUGAUGGUAUAUACAUUCAUUUUCCAGGCAUCAAGGGAAAGUGUUCUUCGUCAAAUAACUGAUGGAACGGCCCUGCUUACUGGACCAAGUGGAACUGCUGAGACAUUUGCAUUGAUAAUUGAUGGAAAAUCACUCGCUUACGCAUUAGAGGAUGACAUGAAACAUUUGUUUCUAGAUCUUGCUAUGAGUUGUGCAUCUGUCAUUUGUUGCCGUUCAUCACCAAAACAGAAAGCACUGGUGGGUUAUUAUUCUUAGUUUUUCACUGCUGUAGGUGCAUGUGUUGUUAGAUAGUAAAGACUUUCUUCUGUACACUUCUCUUGAAAGAAUAAUUGUUUUAAAUGGUAAAAUACAGGUUACAAGACUAGUCAAAUCUGGAACCAGGAAAACAACAUUAGCAAUUGGUGAUGGUGCCAAUGACGUGGGUAUGCUUCAAGAAGCAGAUAUUGGAGUCGGAAUCAGUGGUGUUGAAGGAAUGCAGGUCUUUUCCACAGAACAGCUUACAUCUCAAUUAAUUGUUGAAAAUAUUUCUCUACUUGAUUGUAAUUCUCACCACCUGUUAACCCUAUUUUAUGCUUGUUUUCAACUCAGGCUGCCAUGGCAAGUGAUGUUGCAAUUGCUCAGUUUCGGUAUUUGGAGCGUUUACUACUUGUACAUGGGCAUUGGUGUUACAGGAGGCUCUCAUCUAUGGUAAGGUCAUUCAUAUGUUUGGAUUUGGACAUGGCUUAAUAUUUCAGUAUGGGCAUUAAAUUAACGUCAAUGAUUAUUGAUGAAUGUGAAAUGUCAUCAUGAGUUUUCACCUUUUCAUGAUUAUACUGAUAUAUAUAUAUAUUUUCAUAUGCAGAUAUGCUAUUUCUUCUACAAGAACAUUGCCUUUGGUUUCUCCAUUUGGCUAUAUGAGGCUUAUACAUCAUUUUCUGCACAGUCUGUAUACGGUGAUUGGUUUUUGUCAUUUUAUAAUGUCUUCUUCACGGCUCUUCCAGUUGCCGCUUUGGGUAUCUUUGAACAAGAUGUAUCUGCUGCAAGCUGUCUCAAGGUAUCUCACUCACUCACUUAGCAGACUCAAUUAUGGUCAUUAGAUGGUUAGUAAAGCAAAGUAAACAUCUUGGCCAAAUUUUGAUCAUUUUUUGACUUAUUUCAUAUUUCAGUAUCCUCUACUAUACCAAGAAGGCGUGAAAAAUCUCCUCUUUGGGUGGCGCCGAGUACUUCAUUGGCUGGGUAACGGGUUCUAUACUGCACUAGUCGUUUUCUUCUUCUGCUCAACUGCACUGCAGCACCAAGCCUUCAACCGUGAUGGAAAAACUGUUGGGAUGGAUGUUUUAGGAGGAACCAUGUAUACUUGCAUCGUGUGGGCUGUGAACUUGCAGAUGGCAUUGACUGUUUGUUACUUCACCAAAAUACAGCGUGGCCUAAUUAUAUAUUGUCUUUGUAUGUUGUACAUUUUCUUCGUGGCAUUUGGGUCCCUGUCUCCGUCAAUGUCUGCAAUUGGCUACAAACUCUUUACAGAAGCCCUUGCCCCGGCUGCUUCUUACUGGUUUACAAUCAUAUUUGUGAUAAUCGCAGCACUGUUGCCCUUCUAUGCAUAUUCAGCAAUUGAAACAAGGUUCUUUCCCAUGUACCACCAGAUGAUACAAAGGUUAGAGAGUGGGAAACAUGAAGAUGAUCCUGAGUAUUGUGAUAUGAUGCGACAAAAGUUAUUGCAGCCACCAACAUCAGUAGGUUUUUCAGCACGGUUGGCAGCACGAGCUAAUAAGUUAAGGCGUAAGAAUAAGAAUCAGCCACAAUAAUAGCUGAUUGUUCCUGGAGGGCAUCUGUCAACAUUUCUGGGUUGUGGUUAUCUGCUCAGAAGCUGAACUCUGUCCCAGCUGUAUACGACUUAAUGAGGCUUCUACUUUACCAGAAGGUAUGGCCCUGCAAGUUAAGAGUUUUUGGUGAUUUUUUAUGGAAGCAUCGUUCAGCUGUACCAUAAGUGGAACAGGAGACUUAUGCCAAAAGGAAUUUAAAUUUUGUUUGUUGUAAAAGAAAUGUAAUUUUUAUACCAACUUGUAUUAUUAUUACAAUGUAUUUAGGACACCAUUGAAUUGGUCGUAGAUUUGGAUUGUAUUUGUUGUUUACAAGAAUAAACUCUUCUUUUUCUUAUUGUAACUUGUAGUUCUAUUGAGUUUAUUAUUUUUUAUUACUUCUUAAUAAACUUGGAUUCUUGUUUACUAUUGAUUAUGGAGUAGAGGAAUUUUCGUUUUCUUGUCUUUAAUUCCCUAUGCUUGAUGAAUUUGUUGAAUCUCCUGAAGCACACAACGGAUAUCUAGCUUGUAACUGCAGUUAAAUGUUAAAACAGCAGGCGGCCAAACGCCCUCUCAUUCUUAGCUGAACAUUCAUUGAUUGGAACUUGAAAUUCUCGGCUAUAAUGUUCUUUCUCUUUUCCUUUUUGGUAAUCUUGGCCAUAACGUUGUUUCCUUGGCAGAAUAAAUGUCAAUAUAAUUGUUUGUUCUUUACCUGGGAAACACCAGAGAGGGAACUGAUAAGUGAACUUCCUUAUUGCCCUGGUUUGAUUUCUAAAUGAGUUAGUUGCACAAAAGCUUUAGCCCUAAUCUCAGUGGUUUCAGGUUGAAUUUUAAAUGAGUCAAUUUGAUCUAUAAUUGUGUUGCCCUUUACUGCAAGUUCCCAUUCCAUCUCUCACCCACAGUUAGCAUCCGUAUCUGAGUUUGCUCUUGCCAAGCCAGAUUAAUCCAAUUCUGCAGAAUUCUUUGUAAGGAUCACAGAACAGAAUAUUGAUUUACGUACGACCAUAAUUUGCAGCACACAUUUUGUUUUGUUACUGCAAAAAUAUACUGAGCCAGGAUUAAGUGAAUGGUUAAUCCAUUAGUUGAUGCAUAGAAAUGGCUGUAUCUGGAUGGAUCUGUAGAUGAUAUCGCCUCAAUUAUGAUAGGGAAAAUAGAGUUACUCAUACAAUGAGUUCUUCACAUAAAUGCAACUGGCCAUCAUCAGUAAUUGCAAGAAACUGAAGUUCAUGCAAAAACAUCUUACAUUGCCAUAACCAUGAUCUUAUUCUUAGCAAUCCAAUUACACGGAUUAACAACUACCCUUUUUCCAUUGAAUCAUUGCAUCCAGUUUUCAUGCAUUCAGAGGCCAAAUUGCUUUCUCAAAUGCAGACCGUUGGCCUUGAAUGAUAUGGCAGCCGGUUUCCUAACUUCCAUAGAUUGGUGAUGCCACCAGUAAUGUCAUGUAGCAGAAAAAUUAGUAAUGAAAAUCUUGGACUGGUAGAUAAAAUGUCGUUUUCAUGUUAUUUAUUUAUGUCGACAAUUCCAACCACUACAAUAAAUAUAACAUUAUGCAAUCUACAAGUUGUGUUAACAUGUUUCAAGUGGGAUUCAGGUCUCUCCUCCUUCCAUCUUGUUUACAGGUAUCCCAUGACCAGAUCUUAAAAGAAUUACAUCUACACACAAGAAAUUACGAGAAAGAUGAUAGAAAAAAAUAAGUGAAAGGAAAAGGUCAUCGGAUCAUGCCAAACCAUCAAUGAUAUUGCAGAUCGCCAGAUCCCCAUCAGAGAACAAAAUGCUAAUGACAUAUUAAUGGAUAUUGCAGAUCCCCGCGACGUCCAUGUCCAUGUAUUAACAAGACCAUACCCAUCAUCGAUCAGGCUCUAUGGAACUUUGAUGCCAAGAAAAUCAGCAGCAGAUUUUGCCAUGACGUUUGCAAACUCAUUAAAACUCAAAACACCAUCUCCAUUGGUGUCAGCCUCUCUCAUCAUAUCUGAUAGCUCACGAUACGUCAAAGGGUGUCCCAUUUUAGCCAUUGAUCCUGCAAGCUCAGCAGCAGUAAUGAAUCCAUUGCCAUCCCUGUCAAAUGAUCGAAAAACCUCCAACAACUGCUCCUGGUUGAUCAAUACUUCUUCAUUCAUAUCAGGCAAUAUAGCACUGACCAGCUCAUCAAACUCAACAUAACCAUUUCCAUUAGCAUCCAUGUUUGAUAACAGAACAUGAAGUUGAUCACCUGUAGGUUUGAGGCCAAGAGAACGUAGAAGCGCAGCGAGCUCCAGCUGCGUGAGGCUGCCAUCGGAAUCCAUGUCGAAGCGAAUGAAGAUGUCCUUGAGCUGCUUGAGCUGAUCGGUCUGAAGGGUUGCCAUCAUGUCUGGAUGGAAAUGGAGGAGGUGAAAGGAAAGGAAAUUAAAGGAAAGGAAUGGUUUUUUUUCUUUUUUUUUGUAUCUGUAUUUUGGCUGGUUAAGGAUGCGGGGCUAAUUGAGUGUUGUUCUUUUCAACUGGAAUGGUUCAACCAAAACCGCGUUAUAUCAUUGCCGUGUUAUGUGGGGGGUAAAAACGAGCAAAGGAAUUACGCAGUCAAGUUUCUGAAAUAUUCUCUGUGAACGUUGGGGCAUGUGGGUUCGCGGUGGCGUUGCCUUAUUUUUUUCAAAACUCCAUGUUUGCUAUUUUUGUGCUCUAUUUUGAUCUUUCUCAGGACAUAGUUGUCUUAGAAAGAAUUAUUACAAGAAAGUAUCUGGAACAGAAUAAUGGUACUUUUUGUACAUUCAUCUAAAAACCUUGACACCGGCUUUGAAGGGCGUUGAGUUCUCUUUUCAUACUCUAUUCAUUAUUAUAAAAUUAAUCGAGAAUAAAUAAAUAUUUUUUUAAUUUAGAUUGCACAAUAAAAAAAACUAUGAUAUAGCAAAAUAAAAAGAAUAUGGCAUGAAAGAAUAUUUCAAAAUAAUUUUUUUUAUUAUAAUUUAAACUUAUAGAAAAUUUUUAUUUGAUCAAAUAUAAAAAAUAAUGAACAAUUAAAAUGUAUAGUAAAAUAAUAAAAAUAUUCUUAAAAUAAAAUAGAAAUUGAAUGAUUUUUGAAGGUUUAGUAUCGAUAGUAAAAUAUUUUAAUUAAUUUAAUACAUUUAUGUGAAUAAAAUUAGAAUGAAUCAUCAUUAAUUGUGAAUGUUUUUAAUUUAAUAUGUAUCUUAUAGUAUUUAACAUAUAUGUUUAUUUUAUGUUUACGUUUAAAUAUAUCAUAUUAAUACGUUUGAUUUUGAUCCAUAAAAAAUACACUUAAUCAUAGAAAAUAUUAAAGGGCUUAAUUUUAAUUAGUGGGUCUAUAGAAAAAAUCACAAAACAACUAUUAAUUAUUGAAAUAAAUAAAUUUUAAUAAAAUAUUAAAUAAUGGGAAAAAAACAAAUUAAAAAAAAAAAGGAAAGUGGGGUCAGGGUGUGACAACAGGGCUCGCGUGCUUCGUCGGCUGGAUGUGCAUGGCCUCGGCGUUAAAAAAAUCAAGAAUAGAGGUGAACAGCGUGUCAUCAGCAACAGGUGGAACUUUUGAUGACUGUUUCGUCGAAAAAUCGGCAGCCGCUAGUUUUGACCUCAAAAGUCAAAACCCAAUUUCUAUACUAUUUUUACCUUUAAAUCAUCCCAUCAAUAUUUAAAAACUAUUUUUAAACCUCAAAAUAUAUUUUUAAUCAACUCUAAGAACUCAAAAAUUAUGAUUCUCUCCUCCCUUCUCUCUCAUUGAUUCUCCCCUCAUUCUACAUACACGGGCCUCAUGUUAACACUAAUAAAUUUUGGGGACCAUUCUAUAUAAACCUUGAGCACUGAGGACCAGAAUGAAUUCACAUUUGUAAGAAAUUACUUUAAUUUUAAUUUAAUUUAAUUUUUGUAUAAGGAUGUUGUUUUUUUAGCACCAUAGCUAGCCUAUUCAUAGCUGCAGUGCAACCCUUCAUUAUCUUUUAGUUAAUUAUUUUAAUUUAAUUAAUAAUAAUGUAAUUUAAUUUAGUCAAUAAAUAAUAUUUACAGAGGAGGCAAAAAGAAAGAUAAUUUCUUGUGAAAGCAUUGGCAAGUUUGGAGGGCUGAUAAAACUCCAAUGAAGAGAGAUUUAAAUACUGUCAGGGGAUUUGUCUAGAAAUUAUUUUUAUUUAAAAAUAUAUUAAAAUAAUAUUUUUUUAAUUUAUUUUUAACAUCAGAUUAUCAAAACAAUCUAAAAUUAUUUUGAAAUUUAAAAAACUCAAAAACAUUUAAAAAUGAAUAGUAACUUGGAUGACACGGGAAGGUUAGUUUUUGAAUGGAUUGGCCUUGGGAGCAUGAAGGUUUGAAAGUUAUCGCUUCUGUUGAAUGUUCAAAUUGAGGAGAGAAUUCAGUGGUUGACUAGUGAAAACCAUUCAGGGUGUGAAAUCAAAAUUGAGUUUGCUAAUAAAACCAAUAAUUAAUCAAACCCAUCUGAAAAGAUUCUCAUCCUCCCCCAGAAUCCACAAUGCUAAUCGUUGAAAAUUAUCGCAUUACACAUUAAACAAUGAAUGCAGCGUUGAACAUUCUUAGAAAAUCACCAUAUUCGUCCUCCCAGACCAGUAUACACAGGAGGGGAGUGAAAUUAUAUCGUUGGAUCUAUCUAAAUUCUUUUCAUUGUUUUAUUUAAACCCAGUAAACGUAAGAUAGGUGUCAUCAUUGUACAGAUGCCUGCUCUCUUGACUCCCUCUGGGAUUGAUUGGCAUGUUAAAAGCAAAAUAUGCUAUUGGUGAGAGCACCAUAUGGAAUUUUGAUUAUGGAUAUGUUCAUAAAUUGGCAAUAAUAAUGGUGUGUUUUCAUUCUUCCAAAACUCUAGCUCCUCCUGACGCUUCAAAACAUGGGAUAGAAGCCAUUGUCACGAGCUGAGAUCAAUCAGCCCAGAUUUCGAGUCUUUCAGUGGCUUUCUUUAUUUAACACUUCAUUUGAUCCCGAUCACUGCUUGUGACACACACUAUAACUAGUCACAUCGGCACCACCCUGUACCGGUGCAAUCAUCAUUUGCUACAGAUGUAUAACUGGAUAUAUUCACACCAUUCAUUCUUCAUUACUUUGUUAUCCACGAGAAAAAGAAUGUAAACUGUUUGGCAUGCAACCAGGAAUACAAGAGAAAAUGGUAAGAGUCAACUGAGAGUGACACGACUCUUACAUGCUUCAAGAUGAAUGAACAAAAUUGAAUCGAGAUUUUAUUAACACAAAAAAUACUGUUCAGAACAAAAAUUUGCAGGCGCUAAUUACAAGAAGAAAGAAUUACAGCACCUGUGACAUGGGAAAAUUAUAAUAACCUAGCUACCAGUAUCAAGGGCUUGAAAUCCAAUCCCUACAGGAGACAGUUCAUUUCAGAGACCAUCCUGUACAUCGUGAGCUUGUAUAUGUUCCAUCUCAAAAUUCAUGAAUCCUACUGUUCAUAGAUGAAUUUAUCUCUAACACUAUUUACCAUGUGCUCUUUAAUUAUCCAGGCUAUAACAAUCUAUACUGUAAUUUUGACUACCAAAUGCCAUCCUUCGAAACAGUCUAAUUUCUUCAGAUUGUUGUGCAGAGUUGAAUAGCUCACUUUCUCCCACUCUCAUUCCGUUGGUUAGAUCUGCUAUCGCUAAAGUAUCAAAAGCUCUAACAACCUGAGAAGCAUAGGCAGGCUUAGAGAAAUGCACCUAACAUCUCCAAAUCUGGACUUUUAAUGGAGAAGCAAGAAUUUUCAGCUAGUUCAGUGAUCAAAUUGCAAUUACCUGUCCCAUCCGUGGCCUCUUAGAAGCUGAAUGCCGCACACAGGCCGCAGCAGCCUCAAUCAUCCGGAACAUUUCGCUUUCAAUGUAGUUCUUUUCAAGCCUUGGAUCUGCCAAACUUUCAAGUUCCUCAUUUUCUAGUGCAUGAUUUAGCAAAGGUCGAGCCUGGAAGAAAGGUAAGAAAAGUUUCAGCAUGAAAUUGUGGAAAAUCAAAUACCAGUUCAACACUUCUAUUUCUUUCAACAUGUGCAUUUUUUAGUUUUCUUUCUAUACAUUCCAAAAAAAAAUUACUGGAAAGAGAACAAAAGAAAACUACAAACAGCAGGAUUAUGUAUUCUCCACCACAAGGUACAGAGAAGAGGAAACAACAUCAAGACAUAACAUUGUUUCACCUCUGUACAUUUGUUUCAUUGGUUACACACUUUUUUUUUUAUUCUUGCACUGAGGAAUAUCAUAAUUAUGCAUUGAAUUUAAAUCAAGGUUCAGUAAGAUUAGUCCUAGAUCUGGGAAGGCUUUUAAUUUUCCAUGUACUGAGUUAUUUUCUUCAGUAUAAAAUCUAUAUAUGAUUAGAGGCCACAGGCCACGAAAUCAAUGGAGCUCCAGAAAACUCAACAGAACCCCGAUCCCCCACCCUGCAUACACCAAGGAAUAACAUCCACUCAAUAAGCAAAUCUUCCAAACAACCUAUUUCUAAAAUAAGCACACCUGUUCCUGAAUCAAACCACUAUGGGAAUAUAUAAGAAGUUCAGAACAGGUCUUGUAGCCUUUUUACCGAUUCUAUCCACAAUUCAAAUGUGAGAAACUAGUAGUGUUUCGAGCAGAAGGUAACCAUGUUUCUAUUACCCUUGUAACUAAUUUUCUAACAAAUGUAGCAACUUCAGAAACAUCUUCUCAUAUCAAAACUAAGCAGUGAGAAGAAAAACAUAUAACAGAAAGCAUAAAAAAUUACACGACUCAAACUAAGCUGUAUCGAUAUAACCAGAAACUUCAGGAUAAAUGAUCUAAUUGAAUUUAUCAUUUAUGCAUGCUGAAAUAGAAGGCAAAUCUUUAGAAUAGAUCUGCUCAGCAGACGAGGGUUGCUAAGAAUAAGGUCCACAAAGAGUAAUUGAUCCAUCAAUAAAACUGUCAUUCAAAUCCUUAUUACUAGCAACUAGGUUAUUGGAUCUGGAUGUAUCUUAAUGCAUGCUCCAGUUAACAAUCAACAAUUCGUGAAAAUUGAAUGAGUCUAUCGUCCAGAAGCAGAAUGCUAGCCAGGGUGCAUAAACUACUUACCCAUUCAACAAGACUCUCCUCUCCCAUGGGCUGGGAUGCAUCCACAGGCUUCCGUCCAGUGAUUAGCUCCAAAAGCACAACUCCAUAUGAGAAUACAUCAGAUUUCUCUGUUAAUUUGCCGCUUGAUGCAUAUUCAGGGGCCAUGUAUCUGAGUGAUCAAUUAAACAUUAGAUGCACAUAGACAUGGCUGAUAUAUGUUCAUUGCACAGGAAAAGAAAACCAAAUACAGCUGUACUUUGAAAAUAGUAUUCCCAUCAACUCCCGACUGCCCAAAAGGGCUGAAACCCUCCCUGCUCACACAAAAAAGGGCAGAGAGAGAAUAGGGGUGCCCCUCAGUGGCCCUGUAGUGGCAGGUAUUUAAGCAAAUAAUAGAUGAUCUCUUACCCAAAGGUUCCCAUAACACGAGUUGUUACAUGAGUGUUUGAAUCAAGAGCUAAUUUGGCAAGCCCAAAGUCUGAAACCUGCAAAUUAAAAUCUAGAAACAGUUAAACCACAAUCUAAUUGAAACUAAUCAUAAACAAAUGUUAAAAGGGAAAAUUGUGCAUACCUUAGCUUCAUAGUUGUUAUCUAAGAGAAUAUUUGACGACUUAAUAUCCCUGUGAAUAAUCCGAGGAUGACCUGAACAAAUAAUAGUAAAUCAAAUGAAUAACACCUCCACCAUAUGUAGUCUAAUAAGGAAACCCAUUCAUUAUUUUAGCGUUAAGGAAAUAGCGCACCUAUCAAUGAACAUUAUAUGGCUGGAGUUCUUAUUAACAUGUUCUUAACUCUAGAUCAUCAGUAGUACCAAAAUUGAUAUUUUCAUACUAAUCUUGAUUGAGGUAGAAUUCUGUAUGUGCUUUAAGGAUGAGAAUAUUGUGAAAUUGCAUUCGGUUAUUAGAUCCUUGUUUUUUAUUACUGAAAGUUGGAUCAUAACUUUUGAAAAUGAAGAGUGGGUACGGAUGGAUGGCUUAACCUUUCAAUAACAAGAAUAGGGAAAAGGAAAGCAGUUGCCAAGUGUUGAAAAAGAACAAAAAACAGGUGAAUAAUGUCUUGAGUUAAUUUUGGAAGUGAAUGUGAACAUUAUCUAGCUAAUAAAAUCCAGAUUUGAAAUACUUACAGUCUUCAUGGAGAUAAGCUAUUCCCCGAGCUGCUCCAGCAGCAAUCUUAACACGUGUUGCCCAAUCCAGAGCCAGCCCACCCACCCCUACAGAAAGAAAGACCAACAAGCAUGACUGAUGAUCAUUUUUAUGAACUGACAUGCCAAAUCUCAUCUAUAAGUUGUAGCUUUACCGUGAAGAUGGAAAUAAAGGGUAUUGUUAGGGACAUAAUCAUAUACGAGCAAUCUUCGGGUCUCACAUAUGCAGUAGCCCACAAGAGAAACCAAAUGGCGGUGGUGUACGCGACUAAUAAUCUCAACUUCAGCUUUAAAUUCUCGCUCACCUUGCCCUCCACCAAUUUUUAGCUGUUUCACUGCCACAUCUCUCCCAUCUGGAAGGUAACCUUUGUAUACAGAACCAAAUCCACCUUCUCCCAAAAGGUUUUGGGAUGAAAACCCAUUUGUCGCCUUGACUAGCUCUUCAAACGCAAACAAAGGCCUUGAAUUACCUAAUCCGCUUGAUUCAGUUGGCAAAGAAACACAAUCACUGCUAGAACCACUUGCAAUUAGGGGAGCCGUAGAAUGAGUCUUUGUGAAAGUUGAACCUGAGGGGGCAAAUUUGAAAAACUUCAGAGUUCUUGUCAACAAUCUCAUUCAAAGUGCUUAGCAGCAAUCUCAUUAAAUGCAAGUUUGCUAAGAAUAGAUUACCUUCUUAGUAGGAGAAAUCAGAAUAGAUUAACCAAUUAUCUGUAUUUUUAUAAGAUCCAAACCAUAUGAUUUAGUUUUGCCAUUUUUAUUUGUUAAAGAAAAUAUGCUCUCGAACAUUUGAUUGUAUAUCAGAUGCAGUUCAAUUGGCAAAAGUUAAAUCAAAUUAUGAGAAUAAACACCAACCGAAGUUUUGGGACCCUCUUGGCAGAAUUCCGAAUAGCGUUACCUAGUGACUAGGAGUGGUACUAUUGAGAAAAGUCAUAACAAGCUAAAGAAGCAAAGGUGAAAUGCUGUUUAAAAUAAACACCUGAUCUUGGAGAAGAGCCCAAAGAAGAUGGCAUAACAUAAACACCAUUGAGUCCAGAAAUCUCUUUUCGCCGCCUCCUCAUGCACCAGAGAGCCAGUCCAACAAGGCUGAGCAUUAUAAUUCCUAUUGCUGCACCAAUAGCCACCAUACCUCCAGUACCGAUGCCCCCAUUACCUGUGGAGUUUGAACUUCCAGGUGAAUUAGGGGCGGUAUUGUUCGUGGGUGAUGGCGGGGAAACAAGUGCGCGUGGAGGCGGAGCCAAUCUUAUUUUUGGCGGUGACAAUGCUGGUGGAUUGGAAUCUGAUGGGACAGGUGUUGCUUGAGGAGAAGUUGGAGGAGUAAGCCUAGGAGGUGGGGGCACAUUACUGGGACGAGGGGCUAUUGAAAUUGGUGGACGUGGUGAAUUCUCAGGUGGAGUUGAUGCUGGUGGUGGAGGUGAUCUUCGAGGAGGUGGCAAGGAUGCUGGUGGGGGGGUCGGAGGAGGUGGUGGUGGUGAAUUUUGAGGUGGCCUAGAUGAGGGUUGUGAUGGAGGUGAACUCUGAGGUGGCGGUGUUGAUGGUGGUGGAGGUGAACUCUGAGGUGGCAGAGAUGGUGGUGGAGGUGAACUCUGAGGUGGCGGUGAUGAUGGUGGUGGUGGAGAUGAGAUUUGAGGCGGUGAUGGAGAUGAACUUUGAGGUGGAGGUGUCGAUGAUGGUGGUGGAGAAUUUUGAGGUGGUGUUGUUGAUGGUGAUGGUGGAGAGGAACUUGUAGGUGGAUUCAACAGUGGUGGUGGAGGUGCAGUUGAUGGUGGAUUAGAUGGUGGUGGUGGUGGAGGUGAGCUCACAGGCGGAGUGGCUGAUAGUGGUGGAGGAGAAUUGGAGUUUGAUGGAGGAUCACUACUGGAUAAAGGCGGAGAACGUGAUGUCAUAGGAGGUGGUGGUUGUGGUGGAGGGGUUGAUGGUGUGGCAGGAGGAGGAUUAGAAACAGUAGGAGGAGGGGUUUGGGGUGGUGGUGAUGGAGCAGGAGGGGUUCUUGGGUCUGGUGGAUUGGCAUUGGGCUGUGUAGGUGGGGAAGUGGGAGGAGGAGAGGAGGCUUGUGGUGGUG